rnacentral:rRNA from 1 species
GGCGGAAGGGAGAGGACAACAUGGGAAACUGCCCUGGGGACGAGGAUAGCGUCGGGAAACUGACGGUAAUACUCGAUAAUGUUUGCGGACCAAAGGUGUGAUUCCGCCCCAGGAUGUGCCCAUGCCCCAUUAGCUAGUUGGCGGUGUAAUGGACCACCAAGGCUAUGAUGGGUAGCUGGUGUGAGAGCACGACCAGCCUCACUGGCACUGAGACACUGGCCAGACACCUACGGGUGGCUGCAGUCGAGAAUCUUCGGCAAUGGACGAAAGUCUGACCGAGCGACGCCGCGUGCGGGAUGAAGGCCUUCGGGUUGUAAACCGCUGUCGAGGGGAAUCAAAUGCAAGGGGGUUCUCCCCCCUGCUUGAGAGAACCCUGGAGGAAGGGGAGGCUAAGCUCGUGCCAGCAGCCGCGGUAAGACGAGCUCCCCAAACGUUAUUCGGUAUCACUGGGCUUAAAGAGUUCGUAGGCGGCGAAGUAGGUGAGGUGUGAAAGCCCUCGGCUCAACCGAGGAACUGCGCUUCAAACCGCUUUGCUAGAGGGAGAUAGGGGUAAGCGGAACAGAUGGUGGAGCGGUGAAAUGCAUUGAUAUCAUCUGGAACACCGGUGGCGAAAGCGGCUUACUGGGUCUUUUCUGACGCUGAGGAACGAAAGCUAGGGUAGCGAACGGGAUUAGAUACCCCGGUAGUCCUAGCCGU